AUAUGCUCUUGGGUUGUUAAGACUACAUCAACACUUGUCUAACUACCUAUCUUGUAUCUUGUUUUAGUUUCGGCUUCUUGUGUUGUUAAUUAGCCCAUUUAUUCUUGUUGCUAUUGUAAUAUUGUGGAGCUUCAUCUUGUGUUGCUAAACUUGUUGUUGGCUGGCUGUUUUGGUGUAUUAACACCUUGUAUCCUCUUCUUUCUUGUUCUAGAUAGUGAAUCCGAG
rnacentral:lncRNA from 1 species